CAGAUUGGGAAACUCUUCAAACCUUUUAGAAAUCCCGAGACAAAGCUUAACGGAUUGAUGGCGGGCUCCACCCCCUCGGGGGCGUGCCGCAAGGCACCAAGGCAGAUUACAGAGAUCCGCGUAGCGCUCAAAUCCUGUCAUUCGGAGUUUCUUCCAAAUCCUCU
rnacentral:sRNA from 1 species